rnacentral:rRNA from 1 species
ACUCAAAUGAAUUGACGGGGACCCGCACAAGCGGUGGAGCAUGUGGUUCAAUUCGACGUUAAGCGAGGAACCUUACCAAGGCUUGACAUACAGCUGCAAGCCAGAGAAAUCUGGCCGCCUUCGAGGGUGCUGUACAGGUGCUGCACGGCCGUCGUCAGCUCGUGUCGUGAGAUGUGCACUUAAGUGUGCGAACGAGCGCAACCCCUAUCGUCUGUUACUUUUCAGACGAGACCGCCACGGUUUAACGUGGAGGAAGGUGGGGAUGACGUCAGGUCAGCGUGGCCCUUAUGCCUUGGGCGACACACGUGCUACAAUGGACGAUACAAAGGGACGCGAAGCCGCAAGGUGGAGCAAAUCCCAUCAAAUUCGUUCGUAGUUCGGAUUGAGGGCUGCAACUCGCCCUCAUGAAGCCGGAAUCGCUAGUAAUCGUAGAUCAGCCUCGCUACGGUGAAUACGUUCUCGGGUUUUGUACACACCGCCCGU